UAAUACGUAGGGGCCAAGCGUUAUCCGGAUUUACUGGGCGUAAAGCGCAUGUAGGCGGUUGACUAAGUCGGAUGUGAAAGCUCCUGGCUUAACUGGGAGAGGCCAUUCGAAACUAGUCGGCUGGAGGGUGGUAGAGGAGAGCGGAAUUCCAGGUGUAGCGGUGAAAUGCGUAGAUAUCUGGAGGAACACCAGUGGCGAAAGCGGCUCUCUGGACCAUUCCUGACGCUGAGAUGCGAAAGCCAGGGGAGAGAACGGG
rnacentral:rRNA from 1 species